rnacentral:rRNA from 1 species
AGAUUGAACGCUGGCGGCAGGCCUAACACAUGCAAGUCGAGCGGUAGAGAGGUGCUUGCAUCUCUUGAGAGCGGCGGACGGGUGAGUAAUGCCUAGGAAUCUGCCUAGUGGUGGGGGAUAACGUUCGGAAACGGACGCUAAUACCGCAUACGUCCUACGGGAGAAAGCGGGGGACCUUCGGGCCUCGCGCCAUUAGAUGAGCCUAGGUCGGAUUAGCUAGUUGGCGAGGUAAUGGCUCACCAAGGCGACGAUCCGUAACUGGUCUGAGAGGAUGAUCAGUCACACUGGAACUGAGACACGGUCCAGACUCCUACGGGAGGCAGCAAGGUGGGGAAAUA